rnacentral:rRNA from 1 species
AUACGGAGGGGGUUAGCGUUGUUCGGAAUUACUGGGCGUAAAGCGCACGUAGGCGGAUUGGAAAGUUGGGGGUGAAAUCCCAGGGCUCAACCCUGGAACUGCCUUAUAAACUCCUGGUCUUGAGUUCGAGAGAGGUGAGUGGAAUUCCAAGUGUAGAGGUGAAAUUCGUAGAUAUUUGGAGGAACACCAGUGGCGAAGGCGGCUCACUGGCUCGAUACUGACGCUGAGGUACGAAAGUGUGGGGAGCAAACAGGAUUAGAUACCCCGGUAGUCC